GUGAAUCAUCAAAUUUUUGAACGCAAAUUGCGCUCCCUAGCAUCCCGGGAAGUAUGCCUGUUUGAGGGUCAGUGUUAACAAAAAAAUCGGUUUGGUUGCAAAUUGUGACGUUUCCGGAGUUUGGGCUAUCUUAACUUCUUUGGUUAAGGGGCUUAAAAUUGACCUUUUUUGCGCAUUUUUAGACGUACAUAAAUUUUUUUUUUUUUUCUUCUUUUUUUAUUCCCAAAUUUUUUUUUAUUUCGUUCC
rnacentral:misc_RNA from 1 species